rnacentral:rRNA from 1 species
GAUGAACGCUGACAGAAUGCUUAACACAUGAAGUCGACUUGAAGCAAUUUCGGUUGUGGAAAGUGGCGGACGGGUGAGUAACGCGUAAAGAACUUGCCCUUCAGUCUGGGACAACCAUUGGAAACGAUGGCUAAUACCGGAUAUUAUGGAACUCUCGCAUGGGAGGAUCAUGAAAGCUAUAUGCGCUGAAGGAGAGCUUUGCGUUCCAUUAGCUAGUUGGUGAGGUAACGGCUCACCAAGGCGACGAUGGAUAGCCGGCCUGAGAGGGUGAUCGGCCACAAGGGGACUGAGACACGGCCCUUACUCCUACGGGAGGCAGCAGUGGGGAAUAUUGGACAAUGGACCAAAAGUCUGAUCCAGCAAUUCUGUGUGCACGAUGAAGGUUUUCGGAUCGUAAAGUGCUUUCAGUUGGGAAGAAGAAAGUGACGGUACCAACAGAAGAAGCGACGGCUAAAUACGUGCCAGCAGCCGCGGUAAUACGUAUGUCGCAAGCGUUAUCCGGAUUUAUUGGGCGUAAAGCGCGUCUAGGCGGGUUCAUAAGUCUGAUGUUAAAAUGCGGGGCUCAACUCCGUAUUGCGUUGGAAACUGUGAACCUAGAGUAUCAGAGAGGUGGGCGGAACUACAAGUGUAAGGUGAAAUUCGUAGAUAUUUGUAGGAAUGCCGAUGGAGAAGUCAGCUCACUGGAUGAAUACUGACGCUAAAGCGCGAAAGCGUGGGUAGCAAACAGG